CAAAACAAAACAUGUAAAUAAUUUCCAGAUCUAUUUAUAUCACAUGUAGUAACCUUUUCAGUUCGAUCGACAACGGACUGUCAUUAAUAAUGAAAGACGAUCUGUCUAGCUGUUAUUAGCGACUAGUAAACACGGAAGUAAAAUAAACAACACAGGGCAUAUACAUAAUGCCGAGGAAAAACCGAAAGACCAGACAUGGAGAUGGUGGAGAAACAGGGGAUAGUGACAUGAUGUUAGAAACUCUAGAAAAUCAGGUGUCUGAGACUAAAGACAUAAUGUCGAACAAUAUAAUAAAGAUGCACGAGAGGGAGGGUAAAUUAGAGGAUCUGGAAUCUAGAGCUGGAAUUCUGUCAGAACAGACGACUGCCGAAUUUAAAAAGCUUGCAGUAAAAACUCGGAAGAAAGCUAAAAAGAAGUCUAAAAGGAUGACUUAUAUUCUCGUCUGCAUUCUAGUAACUGCAAUAGCACUUAUAAUCUUAAUAAUUGCUUUGUAUGGAAGUGGUGUUUUAUAGGCGACAGCUGAAGUGAUAAGAAUUGAAGCAUAAUUUGUGAUCAUGGAGUAAUUAUUAAGAAAAUUAUUUCGUCAACAAAGAAUAUUCCGCAAACAAGUCUAGUUGGCGAAAUAAUUUAUGUUUAUAAACAGAUUGGGUCCACUCGCCGAAAUGAAAUUUAAUAAAUUAAUAACCCUUUUUGGAUAUAACACACCAAAUUUCCAAAAAAAAUAUUUUUUAUUUUGCGGAAUAUAUUGCAAAGUGUAAUUAAUCAGUUAAAAGGCAAUAACUUUUUGUGAGCAACUUUCCUGAAUAUCUGACUGUUUAUAAAAGAUUGGUACAUGUACUUAAGGAAAAUUGUUGUUUUCAGAUGAUCAAACAAGAAAAUUAUCCACUUCCUUGAAUAGCCAUUUCCUGAAGUUACGAUUAUUGAUCUAAAUAUUUUGAUGCAAUCCAAAUUUAGAUUUUUCGCAUUGUAAAUUUAUAUCCCAUUUGGGAUAUUAGAUCCUAUAGAUGGGAUGGGUUAUUAACUUAUUAUAACCAGUUUGGGCGAGUGGUACCAACUUGUUGAAUAUAAAUUGGAUUUUUCGUCGUGAUAAUUCGUGAGCUUUACCAAAAGAUAAUACGUAAAUACUCAUACAACACGAAUAGUCUGUCAUAAUUCUAGUCAACUUCAUGUCGCUCGCAUCGUCGUUCAUUUUAUAUAAUUUGCAUGUACGCAUUCAUAAGGAAGAAAACUACCUCUCAUUUCCACCCAAAAGUCUUCCAAUAUUGCUUGAGUCUUUAAGUUGUGACAAAGCACAAAAGUCACAUGAUGCCUUAUACCUACAAAAGAGGAUGAUUGUGAUUUUUAAUUUGAUUACUUAUUGUAAUUAUCUUGGAUGUUAUUAUUAGUAUUAGUAUAUAUUUUUCAUUUACAUUACUUCUGUGCAAUUUGCUUAUUGUAUACCAUUGCCAUGCAGAGCUUAAUCGUGAUACAUUUGUUUUACUAUAUACGACCAAUUUUAUUUUUAAAGAUUGAAGUACUUACAAUAUGUGCAUAACAUUUCUUUUCCAGGUACCUUAGCUAUUCGUAGUGACAACGUUUUAAAAUCUAAGAAUUCUGGGAUAUUGUUCAUUCACCAAAAUGAUAAUAAUGAUGCUUCCUUGGUAGAUCCAUUGCUUACUGUGUCGUUAUUCAAUCAGAACGUUAAGAAGAUUGAUUGAUUGUUUGUGUUUAACGCCACAUUCAGCACUAUUGGCGAGGCUGUCAGUUUUUUAUCGGUGGAGAAAAGCCGGAGAGAACCAACGUCCACAGGAAAACUGACAAUCCUAGUCAAUUAAGAUUGGAAUCGAACGCACCUGCCACGUGCGGGAUUCGAACUCACAACCUCAGUGUUCACAGACUAGUUAAUUUUUUUAGAGUAAAGAAUUAUUAGGGCCCCGCCGAAUGGCGGACGCCCUAUAGUGAUCAGUCUGUCCGUCCGUCCGUCUGUCUGCCCAUCUGUCCGUCCGUCCGUCCGUCCUUAACAAAUUGUGUCCGCUCUAUAUCUAGAGAACCGUUAUGAUUUCAAAGUUUAUACUUGACAUAUAUGUGCAACUUCCUAGGUCAAAGGUCAAGGUCAAAAACUUUGGUUUUAGUUGACAACCCCAUGUCCUAUGGUAAAGAUCGUGUCCGCUCUAUAUCUUGAGAACCGUUAUGAUUUCAAAGUUUAUACUUGAUAUGUAUAUAAACCAACACCAGAGGGUGUGUCAUAAUUUAUGUACAACUUCCUAGGUCGAAGGUCAAGGUCAAAACUUUGGUUUUAGUUGACAACCCCAUGUCCUAUGGUAAAGAUCGUGUCCGCUCUAUAUCUUGAGAACCGUUAUGAUUUCAAAGUUUAUACUUGAUAUGUAUAUAAACCAACACCAGAGGGUGUGUCAUAAUGUAUGUACAACUUCCUAGAUCAAAGGUCAAGGUCAAAAACUUUGUUUUUAGUUGACAACCCCAUGUCCUAUGGUAAAGAUCGUGUCCGCUCUAUAUCUUGAGAACCGUUAUGAUUUCAAAGUUUAUACUUGAUAUGUAUAUAAACCAACACCAGAGGGUGUGUCAUAAUGUAUGUACAACUUCUUAGGUCAAAGGUCAAGGUCAAAAACUGGUUUCAGUUGACAACCCCAUGUCCAAUGAUAAAGAUACAAAUUUGUUACCACAUUAUUCACAGCGGGGCCCACAGAGAUGGCUCCCAUCUCAAUGAUAUCUAGUUUAGGCAACUUGGCCACCGAGGCCCCGUUAAUUAAGAAGAUGUUUAUCAAAUAUAUUGUAUUAUAAUUGCACUUACUUUAUGUAUUAACUUAUUUAAAAGGUUGUAGAAACAUUGUUAGAGUUAUAAUAAAUUGCUAUAUUUGAUUUUCAUUAUUGGUCACAUUGUACAUGUACAGUACAGAUCCGCCACAUGUUUUUGUUGUUUGUGUAAGAGUAUUUAUAUCUCACAGAUGAAAUUGAUAGUCGUUAAUAUAUUGACUGCAAGACAAAAAGGCACGGGACAAAAGGAAUCAAACAAAACGUCACGGACAAAGACUCAUUAUUCAGUUUUGAGAUAUAUUUUUCUUGAAUAAACAAAAUAAACAAAAUACUUUGAAAAAUAAGUUUUACAUUCGUUUUGACUCUUAUUUAUUUAACAACAUUAUAAACAAAAACCUGUAAGAAAAUAGGUCGAUUAGCAAAUAAAUGUAAAGAAAAAAGCCGUCUAGUGGUUUAUUAAUCGACUGGCUUUAUGUUGUCGUGUUUAUAUUCUUUGAAGGCUCCGUGUUGAAGGUCGUACUUUGACCUAUAAUGGUUUACUUUUACAAAUUGUGACUUGGAUGGAGAGUUGUCUCAUUGGCACUCAUACCAAAUCUUAUAUCUAUUUAGAUCAGAUUGAGUUAACGAAAAGGUCAUUCAUGUCAUUGACGGUAACUAUAUAUGUAUACGUGUGCUCCAAUAAAGAUUUGAACAAAUGCAGUAUACCCAGGCCACCUAUUGCAGUAUUUGAAUAAAAUGUUUUGUCUGUUUUAAUGUGAUAGUAAUAGUGUCCUUUGAUGUAGUUGUUAAUCUUUAUUGUUAUGAUUGUAAUGAAAAUGUAAAAAUAUAAAAACGCCAUUAUUGUCUUGUAAUUUAUUAGACCAUAUACUUUAUUAUAUGUUACUAGUAUGUUAAAAUGCAAGUUUUUUUUAUUAGUUAAUGUGAUCUUAACACGUGGAUUUUAAAUGUUACACUCACUUUUAAACCAAAUAAAAGCUUGCAAAAAAUAAAUCAA